rnacentral:snRNA from 1 species
AUUUAAAUCACAAUGUCCAAAG